rnacentral:rRNA from 1 species
GACGUAGGGGGCGAGCGUUGUCCGGAUUUAUUGGGCGUAAAGAGCGCGUAGGCGGCCCGGAAAGUCGGAUGUGAAAACCCGGGGCUCAACCCCGGGCCUGCAUCCGAUACUCCCGGGCUGGAGGCAGGUAGGGGAGAUCGGAAUUCCUGGUGUAGCGGUGAAAUGCGCAGAUAUCAGGAGGAACACCGGUGGCGAAGGCGGAUCUCUGGGCCUGUCCUGACGCUGAGGCGCGAAAGCUAGGGGGAGCGAAACAGG